GUAUAUCCUCGCAGGUCAUCGGCGAUGGGUAGAGCCAAAAUUUGACCCCUCCCUCUACCCCGUCUUGCUUGGAUCUCAAAGUUGUGACUAAUUGAAGAGUGCAAGUAUUGGAGGAAUCACGAUCAGCGAGCAGGGAUCGGCGAAGAAGAUCACUGGGGCUUGUUCCUACGCCGAGCUGUUUCAUUGAUCUCUUUGCCGAUUCUCUUCAAGAUUUCGACUUUGGUAUCUCGUGAUCUUUUAGCUGUAGUUCUG
rnacentral:lncRNA from 1 species